UACAGAGGGUGCAAGCGUUGUUCGGAAUUAUUGGGCGUAAAGCGCGUGUAGGCGGCUUUGCAAGUCGGGUGUGAAAGCCCUCAGCUCAACUGAGGAAGUGCGCCCCGAAACUGCAGAGCUUGAGUGCCGGAGAGGGUGGCGGAAUUCCCCAAGUAGAGGUGAAAUUCGUAGAUAUGGGGAGGAACACCGGUGGCGAAGGCGGCCACCUGGACGG
rnacentral:rRNA from 1 species